AUUGAACGCUGGCGGCAGGCCUAACACAUGCAAGUCGAACGAGUGGCGGACGGGUGAGUAAUGUCUGGGAAACUGCCUGAUGGAGGGGGAUAACUACUGGAAACGGUAGCUAAUACCGCAUACCAUCGGAUGUGCCCAGAUGGGAUUUGCUAGUAGGUGGGGUAAAGGCUCCCCUAGGCGACGAUCCCUAGCUGGUCUGAGAGGAUGACCAGCCACACUGGAACUGAGAAAAGGUCCAGACCCCGACGGGAGGCAGCAGGGGGGAAUAUUGCACAAUGGGCGCAAGCCCGAUGCAGCCAUGCCGCGUGUAGUAAGAAGGCCUUCGGGUUGUAAAGUACUUUCAGCGGGGAGGCGUUACCCGCAGAAGAAGCACCGGCUAACUCCGUGCCAGCAGCCGCGGUAAUUC
rnacentral:rRNA from 1 species